GGUGAGAUGGCCGAGCGGUCUAAGGCGCCAGACUAAGGUACGUUCGAAAUCUGGUCUCUUCGGGGGCGGGAGUUCGAAUCUCCCUCUCAUCA